rnacentral:rRNA from 1 species
GGUCAAGCGAACAAGUGCAUGUGGUGGAUGCCUUGGCGAUCACAGGCGAUGAAGGACGCGGUAGCCUGCGAAAAGCCCCGGGGAGCUGGCAAACAAGCUUUGAUCCGGGGAUGUCCGAAUGGGGAAACCCACUCCGUAUGGAGUAUCCAUGACUGAAUACAUAGGUCAUGUGAAGCGAACGCGGUGAACUGAAACAUCUAAGUAACCGCAGGAAAAGAAAUCAACCGAGAUUCCCAAAGUAGUGGCGAGCGAAAUGGGAUGAGCCUUGUACUCUUUAUUCGUAUUGUUAGCCGAACGC